AAGAUGCAGAGGGAUAAGUUGCGUGCCACAGAGCGACGGAGGAGGGGAGGGGAGCAGCGUAAGAAGGUACGAAGCAAGGAGCGAAGCGGGCCAUCGGUACUGGAGGUGACUCGGGCAAGGUGAGUCGUGACUACUGGGUUAAAGGAACGUUUCCUUUGGAAGUGUUGUAUUGUUGGCAAAGUUGGAAGCAUCCCUUGUUGGUGUUUG